rnacentral:rRNA from 1 species
CCUACGGGAGGCAGCAGUGGGGAAUAUUGCACAAUGGGGGAAACCCUGAUGCAGCGACGCCGCGUGAGUGAAGAAGUAAUUCGUUAUGUAAAGCUCUAUCAGCAGGGAAGAAAAUGACGGUACCUGAGUAAGAAGCCCCGGCUAACUACGUGCCAGCAGCCGCGGUAAUACGUAGGGGGCAAGCGUUAUCCGGAUUUACUGGGUGGAAAGGGAGCGUAGACGGCAGUGCAAGUAUGGAGUGAAAGGCGGGGGCUCAACCCCCGGACUGCUCUGGAAACUGUACGGCUGGAGUGCAGGAGAGGUAAGUGGAAUUCCUAGUGUAGCGGUGAAAUGCGUAGAUAUUAGGAGGAACACCAGUGGCGAAGGCGGCCUGCUGGGCUUUAACUGACGCUGAGGCUCGAAAGCGUGGGGAGCAAACAGGAUUAGAUACCCUUGUAGUC